GGAAUAUUGGGCAAUGGAGGAAACUCUGACCCAGCAACGCCGCGUGAAGGAUGAAGGUCUUCGGAUUGUAAACUUCUGUUCUAAGGGAAGAAACAAAUGACGGUACCUUAGGAGCAAGCCCCGGCUAACUACGUGCCAGCAGCCGCGGUGAUACGUAGGGGGCAAGCGUUGUUCGGAAUGACUGGGCGUAAAGGGUGUGUAGGCGGUUUAUUAAGUUGGAUGUGCAAGCCUGGGGCUUAACCCCAGAACUGCAUCCAAAACUGGUAGACUUGAGUGUGGGAGAGGCAAGUGGAAUUCCUAGUGUAGCGGUGGAAUGCGUAGAUAUUAGGAGGAACAUCAGAGGCGAAGGCGACUUGCUGGAACAUAACUGACGCUGAGGCACGAAAGCGUGGGGAGCAAACA
rnacentral:rRNA from 1 species